GAAAGCCGUAUGCGGGAAAACCGCACGUACGGAUUGACGAGGGGGAGAAGCGGCAGCGCCGCUUCUCUCUACUCUAC
rfam:Haliscomenobacter hydrossis DSM 1100, complete genome.